rnacentral:snRNA from 1 species
GGAUAUGAGAGCAAUCUGGCUAUGACAUCUGCCACCCCACUGAUUGUCAGGGUUUGAUCAGCUGAAUAGCUGAUCUUUCUGACUAGGCAGGUGUCGCCUUCCUCCUUCACCACUCCAUGUGCAUCCCUCUGGAAGCCACACUCUUGGUGAAGGAGUACAACCUUACCCAAUAGAGGAGGAUGAGUCUUCAGUCAAGGGGAUGCAAGUAGCUACUCUCCCCUGCUGGAACCUCCAAAUAAGCUCUCAAAGUCAAAAGAUAAAUGGUAAACUUUGAUGUUUUUUUAAGAAGUAGGAAUGUGUUAAAAUUCCUU